rnacentral:rRNA from 1 species
ACGGGAGGCAGCAGUGGGGGAUAUUGCACAAUGGGGGAAACCCUGAUGCGGCGACGCCGCGUGAGUGAAGAAGUAUUUCGGUAUGUAAAGCUCUAUCAGCAGGGAAGAAAGACUCGUAAGAGAGAUGACGGUACCUGACUAAGAAGCCCCGGCUAACUACGUGCCAGCAGCCGCGGUAAUACGUAGGGGGCAAGCGUUAUCCGGAUUUACUGGGUGUAAAGGGAGCGUAGGCGGCGAUGCAAGUCAGAUGUGAAAACCCGGGGCUCAACCCCGUGGACUGCAUUUAAAACUGUAUUGCUAGAGUAUCGGAGAGGUUAGUGGAAUUCCUAGUGUAGCGGUGAAAUGCGUAGAUAUUAGGAAGAACACCGGUGGCGAAGGCGGCUAACUGGACGAAAACUGACGCUGAGGCUCGAAAGCGUGGGGAGCAAACAGGAUUAGAUACCCUGGUA